CAGAUUUUCAUUCUGUACUUCUCUUUUACCAUAUUAAUUUCUGUUUUUCUUUUGCUGUGAAAAGCUAAAUAGCUAGACUAUUUUUUAUGUUUACUGCAGUGCAGUCACUCAAUUGUGUGUUACAAUUUUUGAUAUAGUCAUGUCCAUGCUGAAACUGUUUCCUCCAACUUGAGAGGUGGUAAAUCAUUCUCUCAUUAGAAACAGCUGUAGAACUUGUAAUCUAAAUUUAAUACCUUUGGAAAGUUAUUUGGUGAUGUGCAUCUUUCUGGUAUGCUCUAGCAUAAACACAAGUGUUAUUUAGGUGUUUGUUGAUGCGGAGCAACAAUUAUGAUUUGUGUUAUCCCAAAUCUUAGACAUGUUUUUUUUUCAGCCACACUGCAUCAUGGAUAUGCCAACAUGUUUUUUAAUCCGCUGAUACCUCUGGACUCUGGUGGUGAUACAUCUAUACUUGCAUCACUUCAUUUAGGAUCAGCUUGUGAGAAAGCCACCUCGGGAUGCCUUCCUUGAUGAUAAGUCUUGGAGAAGCUCUAGAUAGGGUCACUGUCGAGCGUUUUGGGAAGAAAGUGACAGAUUUAAUCGAAAAAUUCAUUGUAGUUCUUUUUUGGUGCCCGUCUUUGAUAGGUUUUUUGGGUGGUCAUUUGCUGGCUCAAUAUUGGAAUUCAGGUUUUGUUGAUAUCACUAUGGUCAUGCUGUUCUUGGAAGUUUAUUUGGGCAACUACCAUAACAUGUCUUUUUUUUUCUUGGAUUGAUUGGUAUGGAUCAUGUGUUUUUUUAAA